UGUGAGCUCGAUGAGUAGGGCGGGACACGUGGUAUCCUGUCUGAAUAUGGGGGGACCAUCCUCCAAGGCUAAAUACUCCUGACUGACCGAUAGUGAACCAGUACCGUGAGGGAAAGGCGAAAAGAACCCCGGCGAGGGGAGUGAAAAAGAACCUGAAACCGUGUACGUACAAGCAGUGGGAGCACGCUUAGGCGUGUGACUGCGUACCUUUUGUAUAAUGGGUCAGCGACUUAUAUUCUGUAGCAAGGUUAACCGAAUAGGGGAGCCGAAGGGAAACCGAGUCUUAACUGGGCGUUAAGUUGCAGGGUAUAGACCCGAAACCCGGUGAUCUAGCCAUGGGCAGGUUGAAGGUUGGGUAACACUAACUGGAGGACCGAACCGACUAAUGUUGAAAAAUUAGCGGAUGACUUGUGGCUGGGGGUGAAAGGCCAAUCAAACCGGGAGAUAGCUGGUUCUCCCCGAAAGCUAUUUAGGUAGCGCCUCGUGAAUUCAUCUCCGGGGGUAGAGCACUGUUUCGGCAAGGGGGUCAUCCCGACUUACCAACCCGAUGCAAACUGCGAAUACCGGAGAAUGUUAUCACGGGAGACACACGGCGGGUGCUAACGUCCGUCGUGAAGAGGGAAACAACCCAGACCGCCAGCUAAGGUCCCAAAGUCAUGGUUAAGUGGGAAACGAUGUGGGAAGGCCCAGACAGCCAGGAUGUUGGCUUAGAAGCAGCCAUCAUUUAAAGAAAGCGUAAUAGCUCACUGGUCGAGUCGGCCUGCGCGGAAGAUGUAACGGGGCUAAACCAUGCACCGAAGCUGCGGCAGCGACGCUNNNNNNNNNNNNNNGAAGGUGUGCUGUGAGGCAUGCUGGAGGUAUCAGAAGUGCGAAUGCUGACAUAAGUAACGAUAAAGCGGGUGAAAAGCCCGCUCGCCGGAAGACCAAGGGUUCCUGUCCAACGUUAAUCGGGGCAGGGUGAGUCGACCCCUAAGGCGAGGCCGAAAGGCGUAGUCGAUGGGAAACAGGUUAAUAUUCCUGUACUUGGUGUUACUGCGAAGGGGGGACGGAGAAGGCUAUGUUGGCCGGGCGACGGUUGUCCCGGUUUAAGCGUGUAGGCUGGUUUUCCAGGCAAAUCCGGAAAAUCAAGGCUGAGGCGUGAUGACGAGGCACUACGGUGCUGAAGCAACAAAUGCCCUGCUUCCAGGAAAAGCCUCUAAGCAUCAGGUAACAUCAAAUCGUACCCCAAACCGACACAGGUGGUCAGGUAGAGAAUACCAAGGCGCUUGAGAGAACUCGGGUGAAGGAACUAGGCAAAAUGGUGCCGUAACUUCGGGAGAAGGCACGCUGAUAUGUAGGUGAAGUCCCUCGCGGAUGGAGCUGAAAUCAGUCGAAGAUACCAGCUGGCUGCAACUGUUUAUUAAAAACACAGCACUGUGCAAACACGAAAGUGGACGUAUACGGUGUGACGCCUGCCCGGUGCCGGAAGGUUAAUUGAUGGGGUUAGCCGCAAGGCGAAGCUCUUGAUCGAAGCCCCGGUAAACGGCGGCCGUAACUAUAACGGUCCUAAGGUAGCGAAAUUCCUUGUCGGGUAAGUUCCGACCUGCACGAAUGGCGUAAUGAUGGCCAGGCUGUCUCCACCCGAGACUCAGUGAAAUUGAACUCGCUGUGAAGAUGCAGUGUACCCGCGGCAAGACGGAAAGACCCCGUGAACCUUUACUAUAGCUUGACACUGAACAUUGAGCCUUGAUGUGUAGGAUAGGUGGGAGGCUUNGAAGUGUGGACGCCAGUCUGCAUGGAGCCGACCUUGAAAUACCACCCUUUAAUGUUUGAUGUUCUAACGUUGACCCGUAAUCCGGGUUGCGGACAGUGUCUGGUGGGUAGUUUGACUGGGGCGGUCUCCUCCUAAAGAGUAACGGAGGAGCACGAAGGUUGGCUAAUCCUGGUCGGACAUCAGGAGGUUAGUGCAAUGGCAUAAGCCAGCUUGACUGCGAGCGUGACGGCGCGAGCAGGUGCGAAAGCAGGUCAUAGUGAUCCGGUGGUUCUGAAUGGAAGGGCCAUCGCUCAACGGAUAAAAGGUACUCCGGGGAUAACAGGCUGAUACCGCCCAAGAGUUCAUAUCGACGGCGGUGUUUGGCACCUCGAUGUCGGCUCAUCACAUCCUGGGGCUGAAGUAGGUCCCAAGGGUAUGGCUGUUCGCCAUUUAAAGUGGUACGCGAGCUGGGUUUAGAACGUCGUGAGACAGUUCGGUCCCUAUCUGCCGUGGGCGCUGGAGAACUGAGGGGGGCUGCUCCUAGUACGAGAGGACCGGAGUGGACGCAUCACUGGUGUUCGGGUUGUCAUGCCAAUGGCACUGCCCGGUAGCUAAAUGCGGAAGAGAUAAGUGCUGAAAGCAUCUAAGCACGAAACUUGCCCCGAGAUGAGUUCUCCCUGACUCCUUGAGAGUCCUGAAGGAACGUUGAAGACGACGACGUUGAUAGGCCGGGUGUGUAAGCGCAGCGAUGCGUUGAGCUAACCGGUACUAAUGAACCGUGAGGCUUAACCUU
rnacentral:rRNA from 1 species